CCGAGUGAAACAAAAUCGGAAUCAUUCAAACAUUGAUUGCAGAGACGAUGUCAUUGAAGAUACUGUGUAUUCAUGGAUACAGACAGAAUGACCAAACAUUCAGAGAACGGACAGGUGCAUUUAGAAAAAUUAUAAAGAAAUUUUCAGAUCCAG